GAUGAACGCUGACAGAAUGCUUAACACAUGCAAGUCUUUGGCGAAGCUGUGCUUGUACAGCCUAGCCAAGGCGGACGGGUGAGUAACGCGUAAGGAACUUGCCCUGCAGUCAGGGAUAACAGACGGAAACGACUGAUAAGACCUGGUAAAGUCAGGCGGACUCAUGUCCAGCCUGAUGAAAAGAGAUGCUGCAGGAGAGCCUUGCGUCCUAUUAGCUUGUUGGUGGGGUAACGGCCCACCAAGGCGAUGAUAGGUAGCCGGCCUGAGAGGGUGGACGGCCACAAGGGGACUGAGAUACGGCCCUUACUCCUACGGGAGGCAGCAGUGGGGAAUAUUGGACAAUGGGGGCAACCCUGAUCCAGCAAUUCUGUGUGCACGAUGAAGGUUUUCGGAUUGUAAAGUGCUUUCAGCAGGGAAGAAAAAAUGACGGUACCUGCAGAAGAGGCGACGGCUAAAUACGUG
rnacentral:rRNA from 1 species